rnacentral:rRNA from 1 species
ACGCUCGACACCUACGGAGGCAGCAGUGGGGAAUAUUGCACAAUGGAGGAAACUCUGAUGCAGCGACGCCGCGUGAGGGAAGAAGGUCUUCGGAUUGUAAACCUCUGUUGUCAGGGACGAUGAUGACGGUACCUGACGAGGAAGCCACGGCUAACUACGUGCCAACAGCCGCGGUAAUCUGAGCGGGCUGGCAAGGC